rnacentral:rRNA from 1 species
CCUACGUGAGGCAGCAGUGGGGAAUAUUGCGCAAUGGGCGAAAGCCUGACGCAGCGCCGCCGCGUGAGGGAUUGAGGUCUUCGGAUCGUAACCCUCUGUCAGCAGGGACGAACGGUCACUGUGCUAAUCAGCCGUGAAUUGACGGUACCUGCAAAGGAAGCACCGGCUCACUCCGUGCCAGCAGCCGCGGUAAUACGGAGGGUGCGAGCGUUAAUCGGAAUUGCUGGGCGUAAAGCGGUCGUAGGCGGUAUGUCAAGUCAAGGGUGACAUCCCCGCGGUCAACGUGGGAACUGCCUUUGAAACUGGCAAACUGGAGUGUGUGAGAGGAUAGUGGAAUUCCAGGUGUAGGAGUGAAAUCCGUAGAUAUCUGGAGGAACAUCAGUGGCGAAGGCGACUAUCUGGCACAUAACUGACGCUGAGGAGCGAAAGCGUGGGUAGCAAACAGGAUUAGAUACCCUUGUAGUC